GAUGAAGAACGUAGCGAAAUGCGAUACUUGGUGUGAAUUGCAGAAUCCCGUGAACCAUCGAGUCUUUGAACGCAAGUUGCGCCCGAAGCCAUUAGGCCGAGGGCACGCCUGCCCGGGCGUCACACGUCGUUGCCCCCCCAUCUACUCCUUCGGGAUUGCGGGGGGCGGAUGAUGGCCUCUCGUGCGCCUCGUCGCGCGGUUGGCCUAAAUGCCAAGUCCUCGGCGACGCACGCCACGACAAUCGGUGGUUGCGAAACCUCGGUUGCCUGUCGUGUGCGGUCGUCGCGCAUCGAGGGCUCGAAAAAAUUGCCGGGCUUCGGCUCGACUUUCAACGCGACCCCAGGUCAGGCGGGGUUACCCGCUGAAUUUAAGCAUAUCAAUAAGCGGAGGA
rnacentral:misc_RNA from 1 species